rnacentral:rRNA from 1 species
GAUGAACGCUGGCGGCAUGCCUAACACAUGCAAGUCGAACGAAAACACCGGGAGCUUUCGCCCCUGAGGUUGGCGGGGGACGGAAGCGUAACACAUGGAUAGCAUACCUAUAAGACUGGGGUGAUAACGGGGGACCAGGGCUACUAACGGAAAAUAUAUCGAACUGGGUUGGGCAAGAGUUAAAGAAGCUUUUUCGGAGUGUAAUAGACGACUACGGGGCGCAUUAGCUAGUUGGUAAGGUGACGGCUUACCAAGGCUACGAUGCUUAGACGGCCUGAGCGGGUGAUCAGCCAGACUGGAACUGAGACACGGCCCAGACUCCUACGGGAGGCAGCAGUCGGGAAUCUUCCGCAAUGGGCGAAAGCCUGAUGGAGCAACACCGCGUGAGUGAUGAAGGACUUCGGCUCGUAAAGCUCUGUUGUUAGGAAAGAAAAAAAGCGCAUUUACCCAGGCUCGUCAUGACGGUACCUAAAGAAUAAGCCCCGGCUAACUCCGUG